rnacentral:lncRNA from 1 species
ACCCUCUCUUUGUCGACGACUCUAACCAUCCCGUUACACGUUUUUGGUUCCAAAAACACUUAAAACAUAUCUUUGCUCAAUCAGGCUUACCUGCAGAAAUUUUUUUUUCCAGCCACUCAUUUCGCAUCGGGGCAGCAACUACAGCAGCUAAAUUAAAUCAUGUUGUUUACUCAAUUAAUUAGAAGCUCUCCUUCCUAAUGCAGUAAGUCACCGCUCUUUUGGUCACAGUAAGGGCCUUCCAACCGUCGUUUCAAAUCUCCUUGCCUAUUCCACAUCGGACAGGGCUCUCCCUUCCGGUGCAGCAGGGCCGCGGCUCCCUUCGGUCGCAGUGUGAGCCUUCCAUCUGUCGGUUUGAGUUGCACUGUGUGCUCAACGGCGGACUGGGCUCUCCCUGCCGGUGCAGCAGAGUCGCAGGCCCCUUCGGUCGCAGUGUGACCCCUCCGUCUGUUGUUUCGAGUUACGUUGCGUGCUCUACAGCAGACGGGGCUCACACUCCCGGUGCAGCAGAGUCGCAGGCUCCCUUCGGACGCUGUGAGAGCCCUCCAAGGCAUCAAACUGUGCUUCAUAUCCAGCCGCAACGGGGGACUCUCCCUUCCGGUGCAGCAGAGCCGCAGCUCCCUUCGGAUGCGGCGUGAGCCCUCUGUCUGUCGUCUGAGUUACGCUGCGUGCUCAGCGGCAGACAGGGCUUUCCCUCCCGGUGCAGCAGAGCUGCAGGCUCCCUUCGGUUGCAGUGAGAGCCCUCCAUCAGAUGCAUCAAACUGCGCCUCGUACUCAGCCGCAAGAGGGACGUCUCCCUUCCGGUGCAGCAGAGCCGCAGCUCCCUUCAGACGCAGCGAGAGUCCCUCCAUCAGUCGCGUCUCCUUGCUCAUUCAGCAUUGGACAGGGCUCUCCCUCCCGGUGCAGCAGAGCUACAGGCUCCCUUCGGUCAUAGUGAGAGCCCUCCAUACGAUGCGUCAAACCGCGUCUCAUAUUCAGCUGCAAGAGGGACUCUUCCUUCCGGUGCAGCAGAGCCGCAGCUCCCUUCGGAUGCAGCGAGAGUCCCUCCAUCAGUCGCGUCUCCUUGCUCAUUCAGCAUCGGACAGGGCUCUCCCUCCCGGUGCAGCAGAGCUACAGGCUCCCUUCGGUCGUCAAACCGUGAGCCCAUUACAAUGAAACUAAAUAUUAUAUCAAUUGCCUCUCUCUAUUUUUAUUUUAACAUAUAGAUAAAUUGAAU